GUCCUUUAGGAAAUAAUUUAAGGUCUAAUCUGCCCAAUGAUUAAUUAAAUGGCCGCAGUAAUUUGACUGUGCGAAGGUAGCAUAAUCAUUAGUUUUUUAAUUGAAAGCUUGUAUGAAUGAUUGGACGAGGUAAAAGCUGUCUUCUAAAUAAAAAAUAGAAUUUAAUUUUUAAGUUAAAAAGCUUAAAUAUAUAUAUUAGACGAGAAGACCCUAUAGAUCUUAAUAUUUAAUAUUUAAUUUUAUUAAGGAUUAAUUUAUAGAUUAUUUGUAAAAAUAUUUUAUUGGGGUAAUAUAAAGAUUUAAUGAAUUCUUUAUUAAUUAAACAUUGAUUAUUGAUUUAGUUGAUCCAUUAUUAAUGAAAUAAGAUUAAGUUACCUUAGGGAUAACAGCGUAAUUUUUUUAGAGAGUUCAUAUCGAUAAAAAAGUUUGCGACCUCGAUGUUGGAUUAAAAGUAAUCUUAGGUGCAGUAAUUUAAGGUUUUGGUCUGUUCGACCAUUAAAAUUUU
rnacentral:rRNA from 1 species